UUUUUUGCCCAAAUCCCUUUCUUUUCCCAUGCUUUUCAGUAGUAUUAGGCAUGCACAUCCCAAUGCACAUCUCAAGAAGUUAAAUUUCUCUGUUUCACUCUUCAGUUGCAAAAGCAUCACAAGUGCUGCUGGGCUGGGGCUGAUCCCUCCAAGGAUGAGGGCAGAAACUGACCAUUCCUGAUUCAAAUAGAAAACAUUCUUGUUCAGACCAGGGUAUGCAAUUCCACCGCCUUGUUUCUUUUCUUACUUUCUAAGUAAACAGGACUAAAAGCAAACGGUCAGUGACCCUCUUACAAUAGCAGUGCUUAUGAGGUUUGCAGCCCAGCACCAACUCAAAGCUCAAGUUCUGGCCAAUUGACUAAAAGAGAGCUAAAUAAAUUUAUUUUUACAGUGAAAUAUCAAGAUAAAAUGUUCUGGUUUGAACUCACGCAUUUAUCAGAAACAUGAGAAAAAGCAAACAGUGCUUCUGCAGAAUAAAACCAUCCGUAAGCACCCCCAGCAUCCACCAACAAUGACCGUUUCUUUUUUGAUAUACAAGCACAGAGGAUGUGGAUGCAGCCCUGCACUCAGAGCCCUGUACCCACGACAGUGGGCACGAGCAGCACCAGUCCCACAUGGAAGGGAGCAGCUGCCCCAUCCUCACACACACAUGGGUGCCUUUCCAACAGAAAGCACAGAACGCAGCUUCAUUCCAGGAUUAUUUUCUAUUUCCAGGUAGCAAAGCUGUCCCCGAACAAACUGCACUAUUUCACAGCUAUCUAUAGCACAUAGCAGGCAGCGAGUCAUUUUAAUCCCAAAUCCUCUUCCCCCUUCAUUAUCCCCCAAACUGACACCAACAGCUUUCAGAAAAAUCAUCUUGCUGAGAAUCCUCAAUGUCACACAGCUUGGCCUCACACAGAUAACGCUCAGCCAGGAGUGCUGCACCCAGCCACACGCCUGGCUCCCAGCAGCAACCCUGAAAGACAAAUAAGGUGUGGGCAGAUCUGCCUGCCAAGCACAGUAUCCAUCACUUGCUCCACGUUCCUAAACCCUGCUCACAAAACAACCUCACAGAAAUCAACGCGUACAUAAGAACCUAAAUCAAUUCACACAACCACCUGCUAAUUUAAGAUAUUCUGUUUCUAUUAAAAAAUUCAAGCCUAUUAAUCUAUAAAAAUGACUGCAGCCAUUUCAGCUCGAAGCAUCUUUUUGCAGCAAGUCCUGGUAACAUCAACACUUUUCCCUCAUACAGUCAAUGCUUAACGGCACUGAGUUUUUAUUUUUAAUGACUCUUUUAUUUAAUAAGAUUUUUACAAGUGAAGGGUGCUCCAAGGCCGAGACCCCCAGAAGGACAGAGCUGAUGUUGCUUAUAUGCUUGAUCCUCACCUUGCAGCACACACCCUGCGUGCACGUUUUGCUGACCAGUCAGUGCCAUUCUCACGCAGCUCAGCAAUGCUAUUUCCCUGUAUCAAUUACGGAGAGAUCUGAAAGCAAGAACUGAACUUUACAUCACAGGUUCUCCCAGUCCCACUGAGCAGCUAGUAUAAAAGUGCACAAACUCAGGGCUGCCAUACAAGCAGGAGGAGAGAGACCAGAAUGUCAGAGCACAGCACACACACACACACCAUGCUGCACUGUCUGCUGGGGCACGACUGCACAACAAUCCGUGCCACCCAACGUGCACUGAUAAAUGCAUGGCUGAUAAGGGGGACGAGGAGUCUGCUGUGGAGAAAGAAAGAUUACUGCAAGUUUCAACUCUUUUCUUGUUUUUGUAUUCCUUCAAAUCUCAGAAACAAAACAAUAUUUUGAGAGAAUUAUGACUCAGAUGAAUACCUCCACCUCUGUUCCCUUCUCAGCAGUUGCUGGCAAACAGAUGGCAGAUGGAGCGAUGUUGUGUGUACACUGACUGCAUUUAGGUAACAACAGCACAAGGUUGGAUCACUUUCUCCAUUUGAAAUCAUUUCCAGGCUCUUAGGUUACAAUCAGAACAACUCCAGAAGAAGUGGUUUGGUUGGUUUUGCUCAGCUAGAACAACACAAGUACACUCAGACAGGCAUUAUCUGUAUGCCAGUCACUAAAGGAUCUAACACGUGGUAUGCUCAUACAAGUUUGAGAAAUCCAUUGACGAGAAGUGAAGAUUUGUACUGAAAACUGUGUUUUAGCUCUUCAAAACAAUGUGUAGGAAAUGGAGAUCUUCUUUUUCCUCAUUUUUCAGAAGUCUAAAUACAUUCUGUGGCACACCUGCCCUGCAAGUGCUGAUUAGCAAACCAGUCCCCAUUCAGAUUGCAGCCUGAGCUCUGCAAGUCCUUCUCAUAGACAAGGCACCAACAGACGAGGCAGAGACCCUUUGCUUGUUCUGCAAAGAUGACAAGGAACCUUAGCUGAUGUUUUCUAGUUUUCUGGAAGUUCCCACCCUCUGGGACAAGCAGCUGUUUCAUCUCCCAUUCUUUUAAUAAGGACACACUUCCUCAGGCUGCACGCAGAGGCCCUAUUUCACAUCAGUUUAAACAUGACCAUGACAUUCCUGUCCCUCACUGCCUCCACAGGAAAUCGGAGCAAUCUGCUGAAUGCAUUCCUCCCGCUUCCCUCCUCCUCCAGACGAGCCCUGCUGUAUUUACGUGUAUUCACAGGAGAUGCAGGAUCCCAAGGACAUGGAAGGUGCAGGUGAUGGCACAGCACUGCAGAGCUGUACCUGGACAAAGCCCACACUCCAACUAUUCCACUGGCUCUUGAGAGAAAGCAGCUGGCACAAGAGCAGCAGAAAACAGCUGGGAAGCAGCAAAGCUACAACAGGCACAGGAUGCAGACGGACAGCAGCUACUUGCAUUUAGAGAAGUGACUUUGGCUCCCUGCACGCUCCAGUGCUGGCCUCGACUGUGCCAUACCAUAGCCUGGUUGGCUUCCCAACACCAGGCAGCCAAGGCACAAGAGGAACAAAGCUCCCUGCCAUGCUGCACCUCCUCCUGCUUGCCCCAAAACUCUCUUCCAGAGUCAGAUAGUGGAGUACCCAUCUUAGAGAGCUGAAAAUUCCAUUUAUUGGUGGUUAACCUUCAUUUCUACGGUGUGGAGAAACAGUAUCUGUGUCUGGCUGCAGGAGCUGCAUACAGGUACCCAAGGCAGUGUGCAGCCCCAAGGAGGACCUCCGCAGAGCAGACACCCUGAGCUCCCCCCAACUCAGCUGUAGCUGUCACCCUCCUGCCAACCCACCUAUGUGACCCUUGCAAUGUAAUCUCUGGGUUCAGAUGUUGCAGGAGGCCUCCAGCUUCACUUGAUAAAUGACUGACUGAUUUGUUAACAAGUAGCAAGAGAAAACACAGCAAUAAGAACCAUACUUCGCACAAUUUAGUGACCUGCUAUGUAAGAGUUUUGCCUCGAACACUGCAAAUUUAGAAACGUCCUGUCUACAACAGGCUGUGCUUGGCAAGCAUUAUCAAGGAGAUUACUUCUCAACUGCAUUUCAGUAACAGCAGCAUUUUUAUUACACUUAUCUCCUACUUGUGCCUGACAUGUCUUAGCUAAAUUUAACCUGCUAAUCCUUACACACCUGAGACACGCAGCAGUGGCUAACGCUAUCACCCCCCCAACUUAAACAGGAAAGCAAGCUACCAAGUGAGAUUACUCAGAUUAAGUGAUUGACUUGAGGUCACAGGAAGCACAUUGUCUAGCCUCAAUUGGAGCCUGGGUCAUCUGAUGAAUUUUUGAAGCAACUCCCUCUUUCUUAUUUGCCCAGUUCAUAUAUUCAUAUGCCACCUAUUAUUCUGCAACAAACUACAGAUAGAUUUAGCCCUUCAUCUGCUUUCAUGCGAGUGUCCUCCAGCCCUGUGGGCAUCCCUGUUCCUCGAACGUUGCUCCAGGUUGGUGACAGCGACCUGUAGUGAUUUAAUAAAUCCAGGUGUAGGCUUCUCCCACGGUCUGAUGCGAUUUGAUGGCUGGACUCAAUGACCUUGAAGGUCUUUCCCAACCUAAACCAUUCUAUGAUCCUAAGCACCAGCUUCCAGUCCUGAGCUGGAACCAACAGACUACAUAGGCUUCCUGUGAGCUACUGCAGGUUUAGGGUCUAGGGCCAGCUCUGGCCCUAUUGCUGUAUGUUAAUAGCAUUAUAAUAUCUGAUGAAGCAGUCUCAAAGACGCAGUAAGUAGCUGCAGACCCAAUGUCUGUGAUCUGUCUCUCGUAUUUGGUUUCUAAAGAAAAUAGCUAUACUUACUCAUGAGCCACCUUUUCCUGUUAUCUCAUGUUUUUGUUCCCUUCCCUGACAAAACAACAACACUACAGGAAAAAAUCAGUCCCCAACUUGCACCAAAUAGUCACCAGCACAACAACAUUCCAAGUGCUUUUGAAAUACCGUGAUCUUUGCUGGAUUAAAAAAUUAGAUUGGGCAAAGUAAUGAAGUAAUAACAGCUCCAGAAAUCACCAAAGAUCUUUAUACAUUCUCAUCCUAUUACUCUUUCCUCUUUCACUUUUCACAGAAAUCUACACGCACAUCGUAAGAUUUGAUUAAAAACCACCACCCUGGUUUUAGUGUUUGUGGUUGCUAUGGAUGCAGUGUUCUGCUCUAGUCAGAUGCUAACAGUGCAGCUGUGAGCGACCGGCACAUCAUAACAUGGAGAGCUACUGGAAAUCUGCAUCCUUGAGUAUAAGGGAAGGAGGAACCACACAGACAUCCAGCCCUCCAGCCUGUGAAGAGCUCAUGGCUCAUCUGCAGCACGUUAUUCCUGUGCAGAUACUCUCGGUAUAGAAUUUAAAGCAUGAGAAAGGAAGGAGUAUGUUUUAAUACCAGAAGUUCAAGAGUAUAAUACUCCUCCAGACAGUUUUAAUUCAAAUCUGCCGGAACAAGCAAAGAAAAAACACAAACAGCUUUUCUCUUGCCUGAUGCAUCUUGGUCCAACGGCUUCCUGCUGAUUUCUGUAGUUAAAUGUUUGACCCUUGCCAGCAAUGGAACCCAAAGUGAAAAGAACCACAGUUUGCCAAGUGAAGCAGAACCCACAAACAAGCGUCUCACACUGGCUCCAGACUGUUUCCUUUGAGAGAUUUAAGAGGGAGAAAGGAAGGAAGCCAUCCCGUGGCAAGUCUGAUUCUUACCUAGAAGUCAUUAUCGAGCCUCUGAAGCAGAAUGCAAGAAGCCAGAAAAGCAACAAGAAUUGAGUAAGGCACACAAGAAACACUGGAAGCUUCAGGAAACUUCUCACCGUGAUCCAUAUCUCCCCCAACCCAGCACCCCAGAGACAAGGACACAUGCAUUAGCACUGCUUUCAAGAGAACUCCAGAAGAGGAAGCUACCAGGAGGCUGGGGCUCCACAGAUCAGCACUGUUUUCCUUCUUUAAAAUGAAAAAUAAAUAUGCUUAUUUGUACUAUGCUCCUAAAUGAUACCUAGAUGCAAUUAUUCAAGCCACAUUUGUCAUUUGGUGUUCCAUGUCUUGCUGCCUGGGGCACCGUGACUGCUGGCAGGUCAGGAGCAGCAGCAGAGCAGGGAAGCUCAGGGGAAACAAACCCCAGCACUUCUCCUUCCUGCACACUGCCCACUUAAGAAGUGUUUUAACAUACAAAACUGACCUCUCUUCCUUGGCCAAAUAUACGUUGUUCCUUUGUAAAUGAAUUUGGUUGAAUAAAGAUGCUGAAGUGGGAGACAAGCAGCUUUCAUACAAUUGCCAGUGUAACUUAAAAACACAGGCAUCUCAAGACAGUUCAUUUGUUUGGGGUUUGUUUUUUUUUUUUCAGUGGAAGCAGAGGAUGUUAUUUUUCAAUGCCUGUUCCACCUCACAAUAGGAAGCCCUGGUGUCAGGACAUACACACACACGGAAGGCUGCUCAGCAAAUACCACAGCAGCAGUUUAUGCCCCUGCAGACGUACCUGCACCAAUGUGUCAGCACAUAAUUGAUUUCACCCUCCCAUUCACCUCAACCCUUCCAUUCUCCAUUCCCACCGCUUCAUAUUUGGUGUAACUGCAAUAAACGGGGGGAAAUCAAAGGGUCUGCAAUUUGUGUGAUUUUAAUACAGACACCAUUAAGUGAAACAAAUCACUUGCUACUAUAACUGGACCAUGCAUUAUACAGUAAGUUGUCUCCAUCACUUCCAACUUCUUAGGAGAGCUAGAGUUUGAUUCAUACAGCAUUUCACCCUGCACACUGCACUACACCAUUAACCUCUUGCUGAGAUGCAUCUGAAACAAUGAUCAGGCUUUCCACAGCACACAAUUAGCUCAUGUUCUUUACUUCCUCACAAAACGACCAAGCAAUAUAGACUUAGCAAUCAAAUUAUUAUCUAAGAGUAAGUACUUUCCUCCCCUGACUUACAAGUCCAUGCAUUGUGCUGUUGCCUAGGUAACAUGAGUAGAUAUGUGGAAGAAAACGGGAAAUUAAAGCAACAAACACCAGCAAGAACAGGAGAAGCAGGUAUUUCAUCUUGUGUACGCUUCCUUCUUCCUCUACAAUGCUUUCAAAUCCCUAAAUAGCACACUGGAAGAAAAAUACCUAACUUGUCCUGAUGGACCUUUGUACUGAAGCGAUGAAUCGCAGUCUCUUUCAUUUAAUAGGCCUUACGCAUGCUUCCAAAAACCUCUAGCACGCUCACCCAAGCAGACUGAUCUUCCCUAAGCAAGAAGCUACAGAACUUUAAUAUAGUCCUGCACAUCACUACUGCAGUGCAAUGGAAAAAAACAGGGUUGUAGAAUAACAGAAAUGCAUCUGACAUCAAAGCAUCCAAGCAAGACGCUCAUCAGUUCUUCAUGCUGAUAGCUAAAACGCACCAGCAACCAGUCACAAACAUGAACUCCUGCACGAUACUCAUGCUACAUAACAACAUGCUCCUUACAGGACAGCUGGGACACUGCAACUUACCAAGCUACUUUCCUGUAAAGCAAGCAUGGGACAGAAAGAGAAAGCGAGCCCACCUGAAGGUGUGAGACCAUUCAAAAUAGCUGCCCGUGCACAGAACAGUACGCAGAACAGACAAUAUAGGUAAGAGACUUGCAAAAUUCAGAUACAUGAAGCUAAAUUCUGGUUAGACUGAUCUAAAAGAUGUGAUAGAAUUAAAAAUUUAAAGGUACUGAGAGCAUAAAAAAAAGCAUCCUGGGGAUUUUAUGAAAUAGGGAACAAUAGCAAUAAAUUCCCUUAUUUCUAUUACCAGUGACAUUCACCACAAUUCUAAACUUGAAGCAAAGUAGAUUUCUGAAUACAGGAAACAUGAAAUAGCAAAGAAGCUGACACAUUUCCAACCAUUACCAGCAGCAUUUAGCAUGUAAAUGAACAAACAAAAUGUCUACAAGCAUUUGGUUUUUAGCUGCUGGGAACAAAAAGUUAUUUAGUAUUUCUGCUCUUUACUCAGAGGGAAGAUGCAGGAAUAUUUAGCUUAAGGACCACUACUUAGC